rnacentral:rRNA from 1 species
GUGAAAUUGUUGAAAGGGAAACGAUUAAAGUCAGUCAUAUCUAUAAAUAAUCAACCUAUAUGAGCGCAAUUUUGUGGGUAUAAAGAGGUAAAAACCUUCAUGCUUAUAAAUUGGUGUUCUUUAAAUGUACUUUCUCAUAUGGUAGGUACAUCAAUUUCAAUCGUUAUAAAAGGACAGAAGGAAUGUAGCUUUGAUUUUAGUUGAAGUAUUAUAGCCUUUGGUAGAUAUAAUAAUUGGGAUUGAGGAUUGUAACGGAUAUCCUUUGGGCUAUUCGUCUAAUCUCUGAAAGUUACCUUGGUGUCAAAAGCAUGCUUAUAGCAUUAAGAUUGAUGGUCAAAAGGUUAGAAUAUAAUUAAAUUCAUUUAGAAUAUUGACGUAAUGGCUUUAAACGAC